GUCAAACUUAAUCCUUACCUUAUUCUCACUAAUGUCCUUUUUGUACUUUCUUUUAACUUCAAUUUACUGUCCAUCAAUAGGCUGGUUCAUAAUAACAUAUUAUGUUGUAUAAUUCUUUCCAGUUAUUGCAUUAUCCAAGUCCUUUCAUCAUGGAUGACGAUUGGACUAGCUAAACAAAAGGAUGGCUUAUUCUUUCUGUUACAGAAGUAUAUCAAUUCACAGAGUGCUUGUUCAUCUGUCAUUUCUCCUAAUGUUUCUUUUGUCAUUUGGCAUCAUUGGCUAGGUCACCUAGCUGAUGAUAGAAUAGCUAUUUUACAAUCUCAACUUUCAUGUUCUACCAAUAAAUCUGUUCAACCGUGUUGUACUUGUCCUCUAGCUAAGCAAAAGCGAUUACCUUUUCCUCAACAUGUAUCUCUUACUAUUUUUCCUUUUGAAUUGGUACAUAUGGA
rnacentral:misc_RNA from 1 species